AGAUUGAACGCUGGCGGCAUGCCUUACACAUGCAAGUCGGGCGGCAGCGCGGGGGCAACCCUGGCGGCGAGCGGCGAACGGGUGAGUAACGCAUCGGAACGUGUCCUGAAGUGGGGGGAUAACCUACCGAAAGGUAGGCUAAUACCGCAUGGGCUCGGGAGAGCAAAGGGGGGGAUCGCAAGACCUCUCGCUUGAGGAGCGGCCGAUGUCGGAUUAGCUAGUUGGUGGGGUAAAGGCCCACCAAGGCGACGAUCCGUAGCGGGUCUGAGAGGAUGAUCCGCCACACUGGGACUGAGACACGGCCCAGACUCCUACGGGAGGCAGCAGUGGGGAAUUUGGACAAUGGGGGCAACCCUGAUCCAGCCAUGCCGCGUGUGUGAAGAAGGCCUUGGUUGUAAGCACUUUCGGACGGAACGAAACGCCUACCACUAACGACGUCGGGCGCGAUGACGGUAC
rnacentral:rRNA from 1 species